GAAAUGAAAAGUUCUAGUGUAAGCUGCUAACUUGACACUAUAGCGGUUAAAAUCCGUUUACAUUUCU
rnacentral:tRNA from 1 species